CAUUGCUUUUAACAAAAAUUAAGUUUGAAAGGCACGAACGACUAAAAAUGGUUUGAAUGAGUUAGUUCUCUUUGGCUUUUUUGAAAGUUUAAGUCAAGUAUAGUUAAGUUUAUUUACAAGUUUGAUUUAAGAAAAGAAGUUUGAAAAUGCAAUGGCAUAAGGCCAAAGUUUCUAUCUUUUUGCAAAAUGGUCAAAGUUUU
rnacentral:lncRNA from 1 species